rnacentral:rRNA from 1 species
AUGGAGUUGACCCCGUGCGAGAAGUUCUUGCUAUCCGAUUCGUCCGAUUCGGACGACUCGGAUGUUGAGAGCAUGCUUGCGAACUUCCGGCAGCAAACAUUAGUCAUGGCGCUUGCCAUGAAGGAGCAUGAAGACGAGCACCGGAAGAGGAGGCGAGGAUCGACUGUCGGUCGUUUGUGCAUUCCUCGGAAUCGCCAUCUUGGGAACAAGAUGUUGAUGCAAGACUAUUUCGCGGAGAAUCCUACAUAUCCUCCGCACCUCUUCCGGAGAAGGUACCGAAUGCGCCAAUCCCUCUUUGUGAAAAUUGUUGAAGCUUGCGAGGCAAAUUGCCGGUAUUUUACUCAAAGAAGAAAUGUCGCGGGCUUAAAGGGAUUUAGUGCAUAUCAAAAAAAUCUCCGCAGCUAUGCGGGUGAUUGCAUAUGGCGUUCCGGCUGA